UGUGCCCUACGGGAGGCAGCAGUGGGGAAUAUUGGGCAAUGGGCGCAAGCCUGACCCAGCAACGCCACGUGAAGGAAGAAGGCCCUCGGGUUGUAAACUUCUUUUAUCAAGGACGAAACAAAUGACGGUACUUGAUGAAUAAGCCACGGCUAACUACGUGCCAGCAGCCGCGGUAAUACGUAGGUGGCAAGCGUUAUCCGGAUUUACUGGGUGUAAAGGGCGUGUAGGCGGGACUGCAAGUCAGAUGUGAAAACCAUGGGCUCAACCCAUGGCCUGCAUUUGAAAAUUGA
rnacentral:rRNA from 1 species